rnacentral:lncRNA from 1 species
GCCACGAGGAAUGGAAGGUUGAGUUCGUUCGACGGCCGGAGCAGCAGGAGUAAGGAGCCAACGGUUGUCAAUGGCUAACCUCUAUCUCCUCUCUCUCUCUCUGUGUGUGUGGGGUUGAGAAGAAGGCCAAAUAGAAGAAGAAGAAUUUGGCUCGAAAGUCUUGCCGAGGUGCCUCUAAUGUCUCUAUUUUCCUAUUACGUUCUCCACCACUCACAUCUAAAUUUGAUAAUAUAUGUUUUUUCCUAAACAUGUCGUGUACAGAUCUAAGGAUUUGUAUUUACAGGUAGGAAUUCUAUACAUUAUGAUGUAUAAGAAAGAAAUAUCUUAUUGAUUUAUUUGGAGAUUAGCCUUUUAGUAUAGUAUGAUAUUUUAAGAUAUUCACAAAAGGUGUAUUUGAUAUGUCCACAUUUAUAUAACUAUGUAGCCAUGCAUAUUUCAUCUGUUUUCAUGAUCGAAUGAAGCACUUGUCUUGGAGAUUAGGCAGAUCCUAGAAUGAAGCAUUGAUCGAAAGAACUGUUAUUGCCAACUGUGUACGCUAUGUUCUGGUUUAUGCUCUGAUGCACUUCCCGUUCCUGGUCAGGGUACGGUGAAAUUAGGCAGAAUGGCAAGAUCUGUAGCAUCUACUGUGAACACAAAGCGGAGAAAAGGGGUUGCUUCCUCGUCCGGUAACCCAAUUAUGUUGCUUUCUUUCGUUUUAUUUCUCCAUACAUGCAAAUUAGUUUAUUCUGGAGCUUCUCCAUAAUAAGAGGUACUGUGCAACCUGCUUAUGAUAUCAUAGAAAUAACAUUUGCCUGCAUCCCUCCUGAACUCUACAAUAUUUCAGUUUGAUAUAGGUUGUAGUUAGACUUUCUGCUUCCUGAAAUUGAACUUACAAAGGAUGAGAGGGUAGCUAGGCACAACCGCGCCAUCCACGUGUAGGUGAAUAGUUCGGCGGGGGCGGAAAGGGCAGCAGCGAGUGAAAGAAAAAGAGCAGGGCAGCGAAAAAUGGCGACGGCGGAAAGGGCAGCAGCGAGCGAAAGAAAAAGAGCAGGGCAGCGAAAAAGGAACGAGCCAGCUCGCAUCCUUUUCGAGAGCUCGCAUCCUUCUCACGAACCCUACCGCCGCCCCGCUCCUCCUCCUCCCACCUCAGUCGCCUCCCCCUAGCCGCCGCCGCCGCCGCCUCCCACCUCAGUCGCGUCCCCCCCCUCGCAUCUCGUCCGCCCCGGGUGCGGAGGUGAGCUUCCCGGCGGCGGCACUGGAUUCGAUCUGCAGGAGAGAGGGGGAGGUGUGGCAGCCUCCACACACCCGCACCGCUCCGCGCCCCCUCUUUGCUCCACCAUGCAGCCUCCUCCUCCCCGCCCACCUCCGGUGUAGCUCGUCGUAGUGGAGAGCAAGGUCUUCAUGACGGGGUGGAGCUGCAGCGAAGGGAAGGAUGCUGGACGGAUCCGGCGCCUGCAGGCUGAAGCAGCAGGAGUUGGUGGAUUUGGCGGAUUCUGACGGGGUCAUUGACGGAGGCUGGGAGCUCGGGUUGGUUCACGGUUUGCCUUUUCAUCCUCCAUAUCUCACACACGUCUCCCCCUUUUCCCAUUGACGAGAGCUUCGGCUGCAGGGGCGCCACGAGGAAUGGAACGUUGAGUUCGUUCGACGGCCGCAGCAGCAGGAGCAAGGAGCCAACGGUGGUCAAUGGCUAACCUCUAUCUCCUCUCUCUCUCUCUCUCUCUCUCUCUGUGGUUGAGAAGAAGGCCAAAUAGAAGAAGAAGAAUUUGGCUCAAAAGUCUUGCCGAGGUGCCUCUAAUGUCUCUAUUUUCCUAUUACGUUCUCCACCACUCACAUCUAAAUUUGAUAUUAUAUGUUUUUUCCUAAACAUGUCGUGUACACAUCUAAGGAUUUGUAUUUACAGGUAGGAAUUCUAUACAUUAUGAUGUAUAAGAAAGAAAUAUCUUAUUGAUUUAUUUGGAGAUUAGCCUUUUAGUAUAGUAUGAUAUUUUAAGAUAUUCACAAAAGGUGUAUUUGAUAUGUCCACAUUUAUAUAACUAUGUAGCCAUGCAUAUUUCAUCUGUUUUCAUGAUCGAAUGAAGCACUUGUCUUGGAGAUUAGGCAGAUCCUAGAAUGAAGCAUUGAUCGAAAGAACUGUUAUUGCCAACUGUGUACGCUAUGUUCUGGUUUAUGCUCUGAUGCACUUCCCGUUCCUGGUCAG